rnacentral:rRNA from 1 species
AUUGAACGCUGGCGGCAUGCCUAACACAUGCAAGUCGAACGGAGGUAGGGGCAACUCUACUUCAGUGGCGGACGGGUGAGGAAUGCGUCGGAAUCUACCCUAUGGUGGGGGAUAACACAGGGAAACUUGUGCUAAUACCGCAUAAUGUCGAGAGACCAAAGCAGGGGACCGCAAGGCCUUGCGCGAUAGGAUGAGCCGACGCCCGAUUAGCUAGUUGGUAGGGUAAAGGCCUACCAAGGCGACGAUCGGUAGCUGGUCUGAGAGGAUGAUCAGCCACACUGGGACUGAGACACGGCCCAGACUCCUACGGGAGGCAG